AUGCGUCGUCCGCCAUCUUCAUUGCAUCUGGUACGAGAAAGAGUGUCGCUUCGUCUGCGGCCACCACCUCCGGGCGCGUCGUCUGCCGCCUCGACAGCACCUGGUACGAGAAGAGCGCCUCUUCGUCCCGGCCACCUCCGCUGGGCGUGUUGUCCGCCGCCUCAACAGCACCUGUACGAGAAGAGCGCCUCUUCGUCCGCGGCCACCUCCGUUGGGCGUGUCGUUCGCCUCCUCAAAUCUGAGAAGAGUGCUCCAUCGUCCUCGGCCACCUCUGCUAGGCGCGCCGUCCUAGCGAGCUCGGUCCAUACAUGGCACCGGAUUGAUGAUGUUGACCUUGGCGACGUCUUUGCGAACUCCGUGGCGCCAUGCCCGCGGAACGCGGCUACAUCCUCCGAGCUCCGCGCCUCCGUCCUCCAUGGCACUCGCUUGAUGAAGAAGAGGACGGCGUCAUCCUACCGAGCUCUGUCCAUCCACCGCGGCACGGUGGCGGCAUCCUCGCAAGCUCCGCCUCUCCGUUCUCCAUGGCCAGAUUGA
rnacentral:rRNA from 1 species